CGGUCGCUGGACAGUUCGUUUGGCACUCUUGUCCCGGGGACCUUACUCAUCGAAUAGGGAGCUGUCCCUGCCGGGAUCGAGGUCUCGAUCAUAUGGCGCCCACCUGCUUGAAGCAGGUCUCGGUGGACUCGUCUCGUCGACGGCUGUAUCGGCGCCGCC
rnacentral:other from 1 species